AUUGAACGCUGGCGGCAGGCCUAACACAAGCAAGUCGAACGAGUGGCGGACGGGUGAGUAAUGUGUGGGAAACUGCCUGAUGGAGGGGGAUAAAUACUGGAAACGGUAGCUAAUACCGCAUAACAUAGGAUGUGCCCAGAUGGGAUUCGCUAGUAGUUGGGGUAAAGGCUCACCUAGGCGACGAUCCCUAGCUGGUCUGAGAGGAUGACCAGCCACAUUGGAACUGUGCCACGGUCCAGACUCCUACGGGAGGCAGCAGUGGGGAAUUUUGCACAAUGGGCGCAAGCCUGAUGCAGCCAGUCCGCGUGUAUGAAGAAUGCCUUCGGGUUGUAAAGUACUGUCAGCGGGGAGGCGUUACCCGCAGAAGAAGCACCGGCUAACUCCGUGCCAGCAGCCGCGGUAAUUC
rnacentral:rRNA from 1 species